rnacentral:rRNA from 1 species
GACGAACGCUGGCGGCGUGCCUAACACAUGCAAGUCGAACGGAAAGGCCCUGCUUUUGUGGGGUGCUCGAGUGGCGAACGGGUGAGUAACGCGUGAGUAACCUGCCCUUGACUUUGGGAUAACUUCAGGAAACUGGGGCUAAUACCGGAUAGGAGCUCCUGCUGCAUGGUGGGGGUUGGAAAGUUUCGGCGGUUGGGGAUGGACUCGCGGCUUAUCAGCUUGUUGGUGGGGUAGUGGCUUACCAAGGCUUUGACGGGUAGCCGGCCUGAGAGGGUGACCGGCCACAUUGGGACUGAGAUACGGCCCAGACUCCUACGGGAGGCAGCAGUGGGGAAUAUUGCACAAUGGGCGGGAGCCUGAUGCAGCAACGCCGCGUGCGGGAUGACGGCCUUCGGGUUGUAAACCGCUUUCGCCUGUGACGAAGCGUGAGUGACGGUAAUGGGUAAAGAAGCACCGGCUAACUACGUG